rnacentral:misc_RNA from 1 species
UGACAGUGGAUUUCCACUGUCACUGCCAAGUUUAAAAAAAAAAAAAAAAAAAGGUCCAAAAUCGUGAGGACUCCCCCCCCCGCCCCCAUUUUCUCUUCUCUCCUCUCCUCCCCUCUCUUCUUCUUCUUUCUUUCUUCGAUGACCGGCAGGCGACUUUCCAAGCGGCUCCCCACUUGGCCGGCGACCCUCCAACGACGGCCAGAACCACUAGAAACAGCGG